rnacentral:tRNA from 1 species
GUCCUAGUAGCUCAAAUGGAAAGAGCGUUGCAUGACACGCAGAGGUUCCAGGUUCGAGCCCUGGCUAGGACG